AACGAACGCUGGCGGCAUGCCUAACACAUGCAAGUCGAACGAGACCUUCGGGUCUAGUGGCGCACGGGUGCGUAACGCGUGGGAAUCUGCCCUUGGGUUCGGAAUAACUUCGGGAAACUGAAGCUAAUACCGGAUGAUGACGUAAGUCCAAAGAUUUAUCGCCCAAGGAUGAGCCCGCGUAGGAUUAGCUAGUUGGUGAGGUAAAGGCUCACCAAGGCGACGAUCCUUAGCUGGUCUGAGAGGAUGAUCAGCCACACUGGGACUGAGACACGGCCCAGACUCCUACGGGAGGCAGCAGUGGGGAAUAUUGGACAAUGGGCGAAAGCCUGAUCCAGCAAUGCCGCGUGAGUGAUGAAGGCCUUAGGGUUGUAAAGCUCUUUUACCCGGGAUGAUAAUGACAGUACCGGGGGAAUAAGGCUACCGGUCUAACUCCGUGCCAGCAGCCGCGGUAAUGUGACUACUG
rnacentral:rRNA from 1 species